rnacentral:rRNA from 1 species
UACGUAGGGUGCAGGCGUUAAUCGGAAUUACUGGGCGUAAAGCGUGCGCAGGCGGUUAUGUAAGACAGGUGUGAAAUCCCCGGGCUUAACCUGGGAACUGCAUUUGUGACUGCAUAGCUAGAGUACGGUAGAGGGGGAUGGAAUUCCGCGUGUAGCAGUGAAAUGCGUAGAUAUGCGGAGGAACACCGAUGGCGAAGGCAAUCCCCUGGACCUGUACUGACGCUCAUGCACCGAAAGGCGUGGGGAGCAAACGAGG